AAGUAAUGGCUGGUCUGAGAAUCGUUGAGGGGACCAAAUAGCAAAGGAUCAAAGUCCGAAUGAAAUAGGACCACCUUCCUAACUCAAGCCUACUGUGACAUCACCCUGCACUAUUCCAUUUUUCAUUUUCCCACAAGGGAAAGUCCUUGAUUACAUUUGACAAAAAGGCUGUAGAACAAGAAGAGCAGUGAUGUUAGAGCACUUAAAGAAUGGUGUUCCCAGGAAUGAAAGAUUGAUGAAGGCUCUGUUAGAGGGGUGGUGUUCCAGCUGCGCCUUAAAGCAAAGGUCAAGUUUGAAUUGAUAGAGGUGAGAAAGGAAGACAUUCCAGAUGAGAACGGCAUUGUAAGGGAAUUCCUAAGGGUGAAAGGA